GCGGAUUUCCCCAGGCCUGCCAGCCGGCACCUCCUUGGAACAAAGGCCCUUCAAGUCCCUGUGCUCACAGCAUGGGGACGGGAGCGCCACUCAGCCCCAAAAUCACAAGGUCCUUUUAAAAUGGCCAAACAAGGGAUUUUUCUCUAGCCAGGUUCUGUGAGUUGAACUGUCCCGCCUGAAACUUUCCACCACAAUUCAGCCCAUGGCAGAUGCCCAGCCUGGAAAAUUCCAGUCCGAUGCUGGAAUGGCCGCGCUAGCCAAAAAACGGACUUUUCAUCAUGAAGUCGUCACAGACAAUUUUUUUAAAAGCGUAUUUUCCACGUGACCACCAAUUUCACCGCUUUUGAAAGGGACAAGUCACGAGGGCGUGUCUCGGUUUGUUGUCUUUGUGCGGAUGAAGUCGCAUUCAUCUACAUUCCAAGGCAGCAACUAAAGUUUUCUUUGUGAUUUGUGUCAAGCUGUAUUUGGACGGAAAUUCAAAUGCAAUUACAAGUGCACAAAACCAGCAUCUUCAUCUAUUGGUAGGUGCAUCGGUCUAUCG